rnacentral:rRNA from 1 species
GACGAACGCUGGCGGCGUGCCUAAUACAUGCAAGUAGAACGCACAGUUUAUACCGUAGCUUGCUACACCAUAGACUGUGAGUUGCGAACGGGUGAGUAACGCGUAGGUAACCUGCCUGGUAGCGGGGGAUAACUAUUGGAAACGAUAGCUAAUACCGCAUAAUAUUAAUUAUUGCAUGAUAAUUAAUUGAAAGGUGCAAUUGCACCACUACCAGAUGGACCUGCGUUGUAUUAGCUAGUAGGUGAGGUAACGGCUCACCUAGGCGACGAUACAUAGCCGACCUGAGAGGGUGAUCGGCCACACUGGGACUGAGACACGGCCCAGACGCCUACGGGAGGCAGCAGUAGGGAAUCUUCGGCAAUGGACGAAAGUCUGACCGAGCAACGCCGCGUGAGUGAAGAAGGUUUUAGGAUCGUAAAGCUCUGUUGUAAGAGAAGAACGGGUGUGAGAGUGGAAAGUUCACACUGUGACGGUAUCUUACCAGAAAGGGACGGCUAACUACGUG